CUACGGGCCGCAGCAGUGGGGAAUCUUAGACAAUGGGGGAAACCCUGAUCUAGCCAUGCCGCGUGAGUGAUGAAGGCCUUAGGGUCGUAAAGCUCUUUCGCCAGGGAUGAUAAUGACAGUACCUGGUAAAGAAACCCCGGCUAACUCCGUGCCAGCAGCCGCGGUAAUACGGAGGGGGUUAGCGUUGUUCGGAAUUACUGGGCGUAAAGCGCGCGUAGGCGGAUUAGAAAGUUGGGGGUGAAAUCCCGGGGCUCAACCCCGGAACUGCCUCCAAAACUACUAGUCUAGAGUUCGAGAGAGGUGAGUGGAAUUCCGAGUGUAGAGGUGAAAUUCGUAGAUAUUCGGAGGAACACCAGUGGCGAAGGCGGCUCACUGGCUCGAUACUGACGCUGAGGUGCGAAAGUGUGGGGAGCAAACAGGAUUAGAUACCCGGGUAGUC
rnacentral:rRNA from 1 species